rnacentral:rRNA from 1 species
CCUACGGGAGGCAGCAGUGAGGAAUAUUGGUCAAUGGACGAGAGUCUGAACCAGCCAAGUAGCGUGAAGGAUGACUGCCCUAUGGGUUUUAAACUUCUUUUAUAAGGGAAUAAAGCGCGGCACGUGUGCCGUUUUGCAUGUACUUUAUGAAUAAGCAUCGGCUAACUCCGUGCCAGCAGCCGCGGUAAUACGGAGGAUGCGAGCGUUAUCCGGAUUUAUUGGGUUUAAAGGGUGCGUAGGCGGGUUUUUAAGUCAGCGGUAAAAAUGUGGGGCUCAACCGUGUCCGGCCGUUGAAACUGGGGGCCUUGAGUAGGCGCGAAGAAGGCGGAAUGCGUGGUGUAGCGGUGAAAUGCAUAGAUAUCACGCAGAACCCCGAUCGCGAAGGCAGCCUUCCGGAGCACUACUGACGCUGAGGCACGAAAGUGCGGGGAUCGAACAGGAUUAGAUACCCGUGUAGUC